GUACUAUCCUCGGCGGUACAUAUACUAAAAUUGGAACGACACAGAGAAGAUUAGCAUAGCCCCUGCGAAAGGAUGACGCGCAAAAUCGUGAAGCGUUGCAUAUUUUU
rnacentral:snRNA from 1 species